CAGGUGGGAAGUAGUUGUUGAUUAAGAAAACCAAAAGAAGAUGGCUGAUGCAUAUUGUCAAAGAGAAAAAGAAACAGUAAUUCAUAUGAUGAGCAGCAACUUUCUGGAAUCAGUAAACUACUCUAAAAAGAAAUUUCCAACAAUGAUAUGAAUUUAGGUUUAUAUUCAAUAAAAGGACCUGGAAAUUACUUAAAUGGAAAAUAGGAGAACAUUUCUACUCUGGCAUGAACAUUGUGCAUGUUGUGAAUCAGGAUCUGGAAUAUUUUUUGUUUACAUGUUUAAACUCAUAUUUCUUGUACAUGAUCUCAAAGUCUCCUUUAAGAACUGUGUUUAGGAUUUAUCCUUCAAUCUCAACAAAGACUGAAUAGUGUCAUAUUCUUCAACUUUUGGUAUCCCUCCUGCUUUAAGUUCUCCAAAUGAUUGAACACAGUCAGCAUUUGAUUGGAG
rnacentral:lncRNA from 1 species